GGCCCCGUAGCUCAGUGGAUAGAGCAGUAGCCUUCUAAGCUAUUGGCCGGCAGUUCGAAUCUGCCCGGGGUCGCCA
rnacentral:tRNA from 2 species